rnacentral:rRNA from 1 species
GUAAUUCCAGCUUCAAUAGCGUAUAUUAAAGUUGUUGCAGUUAAAAAGCUCGUAGUUGGAUUUCUGGGAGAGUGCCAAUGUCCGCCGCGUGCGUGUUGCAGCGGCGCUCUUCCAUCCUUCUGUUAACCUUUCUGGUAUUCACUUACUGGUUUGGGGCUCAGAUAUUUUACCUUGAGAAAAUUAGAGUGUUUCAGGCAGGCUUGCGCCCGAAUACAUUAGCAUGGAAUAAUAGAAUAGGACUUUGGUCUCCUUUGUUGGUUUGAGGGACUAGAGUAAUGAUUAAUAGGGACAGUUGGGGGCAUUAGUAUUUAAUUGUCAGAGGUGAAAUUCUCGGAUUUGUUAAAGACUAACUUAUGCGAAAGCAUCUGCCAAGGAUGUUUUCAUUAAUCAAGAACGAAAGUUAGGGGAUCAAAGACGAUCAGAUACCGUCGUAGUCUUAACUAUAAACUAUGCCGACNGGGGGAUCGG